rnacentral:rRNA from 1 species
AUGAACGCUGGCGGCGUGCCUAAUACAUGCAAGUCGAGCGAACAGACGAGGAGCUUGCUCCUCUGACGUUAGCGGCGGACGGGUGAGUAACACGUGGAUAACCUACCUAUAAGACUGGGAUAACUUCGGGAAACCGGAGCUAAUACCGGAUAAUAUAUUGAACCGCAUGGUUCAAUAGUGAAAGACGGUUUUGCUGUCACUUAUAGAUGGAUCCGCGCCGCAUUAGCUAGUUGGUAAGGUAACGGCUUACCAAGGCAACGAUGCGUAGCCGACCUGAGAGGGGGAUCGGCCACACUGGAACUGAGACACGGUCCAGACUCCUACGGGAGGCAGCAGUAGGGAAUCUUCCGCAAUGGGCGAAAGCCUGACGGAGCAACGCCGCGUGAGUGAUGAAGGUCUGCGGAUCGUAAAACUCUGUUAUUAGGGAAGAACAAAUGUGUAAGUAACUAUGCACGUCUUGACGGUACCUAAUCAGAAAGCCACGGCUAACUACGU